CUGUAGCUUUGAUUGCAGAAGCCUCCAUCUAAGCACAUUUAUUGUAGUGUCUUUUGCAGUGACUCAGUGCAAUUCCUCUGUGCCACCCAGCCCAUAACAGACAUGCAGCUGGCAGUGCAAAUGCUGCCCAAAAGGCCUUCCUACCUUCAAAACCGGUCCUCUGUCCUUCCCUCAUCAUGGCUGAGGAGUGCUGGUUCUUCUUAGCUUAGCUUUUUCCCCCCUCAUUCCCCCCAUUUAUCUGCAUUUUUUGCCCUUUUUCUUCUUCCAGGCUUAUCUUGAUCACAACUACUGUGGCCUGCUUUAUAUGGCAGCAGGUCAGGAUAGGGAGCCUGGCAAAAUGUGCUGCUGAAGAGAGAGAGGAGAGAUGAAGGUAAUGCUUGUCUCAGCCCAGGUCUGGUGCGUUCAGACUGGCAGGAUCUUCCUGGGCCGUCCAAUUACAGUUUCUGUUGACACUUUUCAGCUCUUGCAUCCAGCUUGCUGACAGAGGAUGUUGGUUUGUGGGGCCUGGCAGCGAGAGUUUUCCGAAGAGGAGCUCUAAGGCCAGCUGCAAGGGUCACGUGAAACUGUCUGAUUUUGGGCUAAGCAGAGCUGUUCAGAAGGCUCAGAGACCUGAGCUCUCCAGGAACCUUGAACCCAGGCAGCCAGUGCCUUCUGUGAGUACAAGCUGUCCUUGUUCAACAGGGAAAUAGCUGAGAGCUGAAGCCAGCCCACACCAUAAUUCCCUCAGCUUCCUCUUCUGCAGAUGAAACAAUCCCAGUUCCUUCCGCCACGCCUCCUAAGACUUGUUAUCCAGACCCUUCACCAGCUUUGUUGCCCUUCUCUGGACACCCUCUAUCACCUCCAUGUCCUGGGGAACACCGCUUGUGCCCGGCCGCCCGCCGGCUGGGUUUACCUCUGUUCCCCACCGCUCUUGGGGCCCAGUCAUCCAUCCUGUUCUGCUAUCCAGCAAUC